CGGACGGGUGAGUAACGCGUGGAUAACCUGCCUCACACAGGGGGAUAACAGUUAGAAAUGACUGCUAAUACCGCAUAAGCGCACGGUACCGCAUGGUACAGUGUGAAAAACUCCGGUGGUGUGAGAUGGAUCCGCGUCUGAUUAGGUAGUUGGUGAGGUAACGGCCCACCAAGCCGACGAUCAGUAGCCGACCUGAGAGGGUGACGGGCCACAUUGGGACUGAGACACGGCCCAA
rnacentral:rRNA from 1 species